rnacentral:rRNA from 1 species
GACGAACGCUGGCGGCGUGCUUAACACAUGCAAGUCGAACGGAAUUUCCCUGCUUUUUUGGGUUCCUCGAGUUGCGAACGGGUGAGUAACUCGUACGUAGCCUGCCCUUGACUUUGGGAUAACUUCCGUAAACUAGGGCUUAUACCUGCUAGAUGCUCCUGCUUCAUGCUUGGGGUUGUAAGGUUUCGGCGGUUGGGGAUGGACUCGCGGCUUAUCCUCUUGUUGGUGGGGUAGUGGCUUACCAAGGGUUUGACGGGUAGCCGGCCUGAGAGGGUGACCGGCCACAUUGGGACUGAGAGACGGCCCAGACGCGUACGGGAGGCAGCAGUGGGGAAUAUUGCAGAAUGGGCGGAAGCCAGAUGGAGCAACGCCGCGUGCGGGAUGACGGCCUUCGGGUGGUAAACCGCUUUCGCCUGUGACGAAGCGGGAGUGACGGUAAUGGGGAAAGAAGCACCGGCUAACUACGUG